rnacentral:rRNA from 1 species
GUGCCAGCAGCCGCGGUAAGACGAACCGUGCGAACGUUAUUCGGAAUCACUGGGCUUAAAGCGCGUGUAGGCGGCCCGGCACGUCCGUCGCUGAAAGCCCCCGGCUCAACCGGGGAAGGGGCGCGGAUACGACCGGGCUGGAGGGGGGUAGGGGGCGCCGGAACUGCCGGUGGAGCGGUGAAAUGCGUUGAGAUCGGCAGGAACGCCCGUGGCGAAAGCGGGCGCCUGGACCCCACCUGACGCUGAGACGCGAAAGCCAGGGGAGCGAACGGGAUUAGAUACCCCGGUAGUCC